rnacentral:rRNA from 1 species
UGGUGGAGUGAUUUGUCUGGUUAAUUCCGAUAACGAACGAGACCUUAACCUGCUAAAUAGGGGUAUCGGAUAUUUCUUCCGUACUCGCUUCUUAGAGGGACUGUUGUGUGCCUAACCAAGGAAGUUUGAGGCAAUAACA